UACGUAGGGGGCUAGCGUUGUCCAGAAUCAUUGGGCGUAAAGAGCGUGUAGGCGGUCCGGUAAGUCCGCUGUGAAAGUCGGGGGCUCAACCCUCGAAUGCCGGUGGAUACUGUCGGGCUAGAGUGCGGAAGAGGCGAGUGGAAUUCCUGGUGUAGCGGUGAAAUGCGCAGAUAUCAGGAGGAACACCUAUUGCGAAGGCAGCUCGCUGGGACGUAACUGACGCUGAGACGCGAAAGCGUGGGGAGCAAACAGG
rnacentral:rRNA from 1 species